rnacentral:lncRNA from 1 species
CAGCUCCAGGGCAGCAAUGGCGCAUACCAUGACUCCCCUUUCAACAGCGCAAAACACAACCUCCAUUCUGAAGAUUGCUCCAAAAUCCCCAACUCUGAAGAACAGCAGCGACCUUUCUCUGGGAGCCAAAUGCGACACCAGGAGGUCAGUGAAGUAUAUGUAUAUUCAGUUCAAUUUCUCUUUCUGAAUGUGUUUGUGUUUCUCCCCUUCUUAGAACUUCGAUGUAUUGCUGUAACAGGGCACUUGUAUGUGGCUUGAUUGCUGCUGGUGCUGGUGCAAUGCUGGGACCUGACAUUGCUUCUGCUGCGUCUAAGAGACGGCCUCCGCCGCCUUCGCCGACGGAGGAGAAGAAAGACCCGAACGUUAGCGGCGUGCAGGCUAAGGUGCUUGCCAGCAAGAGGAGGAAGGAGGCCAUGAAGGAAGCUGUGGCCAAGUUGAGGGAGAAAGGGAAGCCUGUUGAUAAGUGAAGGGCAGAACCACAGAACAAGUAGCCUUUGGUUCCAGC